UUCCGUAAGGGGGACCUGCGGAGGGAUCAUUACAGAGUUACUACUCCAAAACCCAUUGUGAACCUUACCUAUGUUCUGUUGCCUCGGCGGCGUGGUCAGCGCCCCCUCUGAAAAGAGGACGAUGCCCUCCCGCCGGCAGCACCAAACUCUUGAAUUUUACAGCGGAUUACAGUUCUGAUUUGAAAAGAAAAAACAAGUUAAAACUUUCAACAACGGAUCUCUUGGUUCUGGCAUCGAUGAAGAACGCAGCGAAAUGCGAUAAGUAAUGUGAAUUGCAGAAUUCAGUGAAUCAUCGAAUCUUUGAACGCACAUUGCGCCCGGCAGUAAUCUGCCGGGCAUGCCUGUCCGAGCGUCAUUUCAACCCUCGAACCUCCGUUUCCUCAGGGAAGCUCAGGGUCGGUGUUGGGGCGCUACGGCGAGUCUUCGCGACCCUCCGUAGGCCCUGAAAUACAGUGGCGGUCCCGCCGCGGUUGCCUUCUGCGUAGUAAGUCUCUUUUGCAAGCUCGCAUUGGGUCCCGGCGGAGGCCUGCCGUCAAACCACCUAUAACUCCAGAUGGUUUGACCUCGGAUCAGGUAGGGUUACCCGCUGAACUUAAGCAUAUCAAAGCCGGGAAGGAAA
rnacentral:rRNA from 1 species